UACGGGGAGGGCAAGCGUUGUUCGGAAUUACUGGGCGUAAAGGGCUCGUAGGCGGCCCACUAAGUCCGACGUGAAAUCCCCAGGCUUAACUUGGGAACUGCGUCGGAUACUGGUGGGCUUGAAUCCGGGAGAGGGAUGCGGAAUUCCAGGUGUAGCGGUGAAAUGCGUAGAUAUCUGGAGGAACACCGGUGGCGAAGGCGGCAUCCUGGACCGGCAUUGACGCUGAGUGAGCGAAAGCCAGGGGAGCAAACGGG
rnacentral:rRNA from 1 species